GCAAUGCCGCGUGAGUGAAGAAGGCCCUCGGGUUGUAAAGCUCUUUUGUCAGGGAAGAAACGGUCUACUCUAAUACAGUGGGCUAAUGACGGUACCUGAAGAAUAAGCACCGGCUAACUACGUGCCAGCAGCCGCGGUAAUACGUAGGGUGCAAGCGUUAAUCGGAAUUACUGGGCGUAAAGCGUGCGCAGGCGGUUUUAUAAGUCUGAUGUGAAAUCCCCGGGCUCAACCUGGGAACUGCAUUGGAGACUGUAAGGCUAGAGUGUGUCAGAGGGGGGUAGAAUUCCACGUGUAGCAGUGAAAUGCGUAGAUAUGUGGAGGAAUACCGAUGGCNAANGCAGCCCCCUGGNNUAACGCUGAAGCUCAUGCACGAUCUCGUGAGGAGCAAAGAGGAUUACAUAGCCUGGUANGCGACGCCCUACUCUAUGUCUACUACUUGUCUCUCCUUAAUUUACUUUCCAUGGCAA
rnacentral:rRNA from 1 species